AGCGAACGCUGGCGGCAUGCCUAACACAUGCAAGUCGAACGAACUCUUCGGAGUUAGUGGCGGACGGGUGCGUAACACGUGGGAACGUGCCUUUUGGUUCGGAAUAACUCAGGGAAACUUGUGCUAAUACCGAAUGUGCCCUUCGGGGGAAAGAUUUAUCGCCAUUAGAGCGGCCCGCGUCUGAUUAGCUAGUUGGUGAGGUAACGGCUCACCAAGGCGACGAUCAGUAGCUGGUCUGAGAGGAUGACCAGCCACACUGGGACUGAGACACGGCCCAGACUCCUACGGGAGGCAGCAGUGGGGAAUCUUGCGCAAUGGGCGAAAGCCUGACGCAGCCAUGCCGCGUGAAUGAUGAAGGUCUUAGGAUUGUAAAAUUCUUUCACCGGGGACGAUAAUGACGGUACCCGGAGAAGAAGCCCCGGCUAACUUCGUG
rnacentral:rRNA from 1 species